rnacentral:rRNA from 1 species
GACGAACGCUGGCGGCGUGCUUAACACAUGCAAGUCGAACGGAAAGUCCCUGCUUUUGUGGGGUGCUCGAGUUGCGAACGGGUGAGUAACACUUGAGUAACCUGCCCUUGACUGUGGGAUAACUUCAUGAAACUUGGUCUAAUACCGGCUAGGAGCUCCUGCUGCUUGGUGGGGGUUGGAAAGUUUCGGCGGUUGGGGAUGUACUCGCGGCUUAUCAGCUUGUUGGUGGGGUAGUGGAUUACCAAGGCUUUGACCGGUAGCCGGCCUGAGAGGGUGACCGGCCACAUUGGGACUGAGAUACGGCACAGCCUACUCCGGGAGGCAGCAGUGGGGAAUAUUGCACAAUGGGCGGAAGCCUGAUGCAGCAACGCAGCGUGCGGGAUGACGGCAUUCGGGUUGUAAACCGCUUUCGCCUGUGACGAAGCGUGAGUGACGGUAAUGGGUAAAGAAGCACCGGCUAACUACGUG